GUCACGUAGGACUCGGGACACAGAUGUAAAGGUGAAUUCAGAAAGGUGUUUAUUCAAUAAGAGUUCAAGUGAUCAGUGCAUCUUCGGUUCUUAGUGCACAGUGAAGUUCCAUUCUUCCAGUGCAGGUAGUUUGGUAUUCACAUGGAACAGGGAAAUCGCACAGGUGAGUUAGUUUGGAUUGCAGACGUCAAAGCCAGUCAUUGAUUACUCACUAAUAUCCGCUUUCUUCUCAUAAGCCAAAGACAGUACCAACUCGGAGUAAUCAUGGGAGAAUACAGCGACCAUCGAAUCACUAAGCAUUGCACGGUGAUCCACGGUCCUGGGAACAGUAGAACAAGAACACAGGUUGGGACCAACAUGGUUGAAUAUUUGAAGGAGGCAGAGCUCACUAAACCCUUCCCCUUUGUCCUUGGUCUUGGGGAUGACAGUCAAUGCCAUCAAGCCUUUGUAGUUGUUGGCAAACAGGCACUGCAUCAAAACACACUCCUUGGUGCUGUGGACACGUGCUUUAAACUUUUUUAUGUUUUAGACAUCCAUUUCCCGAAGCAGUGUGCACCAGUGUGGGAGUUUUUGCAGACUGUUGUCUACAAACUCCCAGGAACUGAAUCUCCUUCUGUAAGACUGCUCCGUGGAUAUUUGUCAUGUUGAGCAGUACUGGAACCAUGAAAACUAACCCUUUCUAAAAUGUUAUGCAAGUUUAUAUUAAGAGGGAAGUUGUCAGACUAAUACAUAUAUCUAAAGCAUUUUACUUGUAUCACUUUGUUCGUGUGCCUCUUUGUUAAACAUACUCUCUAAAAAGUUAUGAGUUUAUAUGAAGGGGAAAGUCAUCUAAUAUAUAUGAAGCAUUGUACUUGUGUCUUUUGUGUCUUAUACUUGUGUAUAUAAUGUAAAUGUUUAAAUCUAAGCUAAUUUAAUUUAUUGAUAUUUAUUUUUUAUAUUUAUAAAAUGGAAGUUGUAUUUAUAUUUUAUAUGCUGUUUUAUUGUUCAUUGAGCAUGAAAAAAUAUCAUGCUUUUUUGCUAUAUGAAUUAUAUAUGCUUUUAUGUCUUGCAUUUGGAUGUUCUUUAUUAAUAAAUCUUCACCUUUUGAGUUAUUACUGUUGCUUUUAGUGAUUCUCUGUGAUUUUA
rnacentral:lncRNA from 1 species